rnacentral:ncRNA from 2 species
UACGAAGGAUGCAAGCGUUAUCCGGAUUCAUUGGGUUUAAAGGGAGCGUAGGUGGCCUUAUAAGUCAGUGGUGAAAUCUCUGGGCUUAACCCAGAAAUUGCCAUUGAUACUGUAGGGCUUGAGUAUAGUUGCCGUUGGCGGAAUAUGACAUGUAGUGGUGAAAUACAUAGAGAUGUCAUAGAACACCGAUUGCGAAGGCAGCUGACGAAACUAUAACUGACACUGAGGCUCGAAAGUGCGGGGAUCAAACAGG